AAAAUAUACAUAAUUUAUUGUCAAUUAUUUAUGUAGGUCUAUCCUGUUGGUGAAAUGUUAAUUUUAAAUUACUUCUGUUUUGAAACGACAAGUAUUAAAUUAUCUCGAUAAACGAUGAGCUGUCGUACUUUCUUUUUUUUGUCACUCUAUUGGCGUUUUAUACCAAGUAUUACACAACUUUGUCACUAUCAACGUUGUCGAACAGUUGCAAAUAAGAACACUAAUUUUUACGCUCGUUUAAAAACUGGAACUCAGAAUCAUUUUUUAAACCUAGGUCAUCAUCUACAUAACAAAUGGUGACCAUAAAGUGGCAUCAAGUUCAAACUGAAUGAUCACAUGAAAAUUGAAUGCAUGUUGGAAUAGUUUUUUUACAUGGAAUUAAGAAAACCGAUUAUUAUUUACAUUAUAAACAAUACUUUAUUGUUUCAAAAUAUACGGAAAAAUAACUCAACUAAUAAUACUGUGCUGAAUAAUGUGUACAAUCAUAUAAUUUGAAUUGUGUAUUGCAGAACUAUUUCGUAGAUUAGACUGCAGAUUAUUUAAAGAUAGAAUCAUAUCGUUUAAAAAAAUAUUUACAAUUUACAUAUGUACACUUGACGACUUUUAAGGAAAUCUAAUACUGGAUACUUAUCGCACUGCAUUGUAUGCUGAUCAAAUGUGUUCAAUUAUACAGAUAACCUUACGAUCAUCACUUAUUUAAGAUACGGACUACUGUUUCCGGCUUUCGAUGGAUACCUGUCUGUUAAUGUUUUUUAUAUAAGUAGUGCCAAAUGCUUAAUAUGAAUAUAUACUAGAGUACCCAUGAACACUACGUUUCAAUUGAGUUGGAUAAUAUAUAGAAGCGUAAAAAAUGAUUUUAAGUAUUGGCAAGUGUUUUUCUGACUGAUGUAGUUGCUCACUACUUUUACAAGUAUAAGGAUGAAAACGACGCCGAAUAUUUUAAGUCAGAAUCUGCAUU